rnacentral:rRNA from 1 species
CCUACGGGGUGCAGCAGUGGGGGAUAUUGCACAAUGGGGGAAACCCUGAUGCAGCGACGCCGCGUGAGUGAAGAAGUAUUUCGGAAUGUAAAGCUCUAUCAGCAGGGAAGAAAAUGACAGUACCUGACCAAGAAGCCCCGGCUAACUACGUGCCAGCAGCCGCGGUAAUACGUAGGGGGCAAGCGUUAUCCGGAUUUACUGGGGGUAAAGGGAGCGUAGACGGUUAUGUAAGUCUGGAGUGAAAGCCCGGGGCCCAACCGCGGGGGGGCAUUGGAUACUGUGUAACUGGAGUGCAGGAGGGGAAGGCGGAAUUCCUGGUGUAGCGGUGAAAUGCGCAGAGAUAAGGAGGAACACCGGCGGCGAAGGCGGCCUGCUGGACUGAAACUGACGUUGAGGCUCGAAAGCGUGGGGAGCAAACAGGAUUAGAUACCCUUGUAGUC